UGUCCGUUUACUUUGUAGAUUAAUGAUGGG
rnacentral:piRNA from 1 species